UUAGAAGUCGAUUAGAAGAUGAGUAAUUUGGGACCACUCAAAGAGAGCCGCUGGUUGGUGGAAAGCGGUAGUGGAAGCGAGUGAAGAUGGUCUUCAACGGAAUCGGAUGGCUGAGCUAUGGCUAAGCCAUCGUGGGUGUGCCCAUUAUAGCACGCGGGUAUCAACAGGUACUCGGUAAGAAAUUCAGUGUGAACUGGAUUUAAAGUAAGGUGGUAACGCGUGCCAACGUCCUUAUU
rnacentral:ncRNA from 1 species